rnacentral:tRNA from 3 species
GCCCCCAUCGUCUAGAGGCCCAGGACAUCUCUCUUUCAAGGAGGCGACGGGGAUUCGAAUUCCCCUGGGGGUA